GGACAGCCUGAGGAAAGUUGAGGGACAGGUGUUCCGGGCAGCGGGAACGGCACCAUCAGAGGCUGGAGGCCCAGGAGACAGUGAGGCCCAGGAGACGAGCAGGACACGGCCAGUGGGUUACUGUAAGGGUGUCAGAAGGCCGAGGUGCCGCUCAGGGUUCAGAAAAGCCAGGUCAGGCAGUGGCCAGUCUCUCCCACCCUCAAAAUCCAGGAGUCCCGCUCGGUGCGAUCCCAGGCCCCCAGCCCCACCCUCCUGCCCUCGUGCACCCGGGCCUCGCCGAGGCUCACGGCCUCACUCCUGGAGCAGCUGGCCCCAUGCACCCUGGUGAGCCCCUGAGGGGAAGGUUCCCCCCCAGGACUGGUGUCCCUGCUCCCACGGAGCCCUCUCAACAAGACGGCUUUGUCUGCUAUCCGCGGACCCCAGCGCUCCCCCCAGGCUCCUGGCAGCCUGUGUGCAGCUCUGAAAGGAGGCUUUAUCUGCGUCCCAGGCCAGAUUGCUGGGAAGCCGAUGGCCAAUGGUCGGCUCCUGGGGCCAGGCAGAGCCCAGCCCUGGCUUCUGGGCUGCAGACACAGACAGGCCAGGACAAAGGGGCGCCCUCGGGGAGCAGCCAGACCAGGACCCACCGAGGAAGACAAGAGGACCACACAGCCCCCCACACCCCCUCCCCACCCCCACAGUCUUGUCACUCAAUCGCAGGGGUCAGUGACAGAGCCCUUUGUGCAGCCCUGCCCCGUGGGAGAGAGGAGGCAGGGACUCUGCUUUCUUUGUUGAAAAAUGAGUUGGUCACCAUUGCUGAACUGUGCAGUUUAAAAGAGCUGAAACAGAAAUCCUGUGUUCUUGAGCUGUGUAUCUCCAGUGCUAUCAUCUAGUCACAUUAAAAGUGUUCCAAAAGUA